UGUGUUUUCAUAAAUUAAAUGCAAUCUCUUCUUUGAAAAUAGGCACGAAUCUUUGUGUUUAAACAUGUUUUGUCAAAACCUUUUUUGGAUUGACUUUAUUUUGUUCUCUGUGCCAUGGACACAACCAGAUACGCUUGUCGAUUGCAUGAUUAUUGUCAUGAACUCUCUUCAGAUCAUUCUCUUUUGAAAAUAUCAGUAGGAAGUAAAUAAUAGACCUUCUAGUCUUUUGUCAUCUACAGACAGUUUGUAUGCUUUGUUUUACUCCUGAUGCUUCCAUGAAAAUACCUGGAAUCAGCUGGAAGGCAGAGCGUUCCAUAUUUAACAAAGGAUUGUCUUAAGAGCCUGGAGACUCUGCCAGAUACUCUUGGGUGCAGGCUUCUGAUGGCAUUGUUUAACUAUGAGAUCAUACCAGUGGACUGAGUCAGGAGUUCCAGACAUCCAGUCAAGAAGUAGAUGUGUUCCUGAGACUACUAAGCCUGGAUCAAGUGGAACAAGAAUUAUUACACAGGACUGAACGAACUGAUCAUUCAUGAUUAUGGGCUUUGUUUGGAACAGUGCUGAUGCUCUCGUGUUCUAUUUUCUGGAUGUAAGGAUGCACUUUCUCUCUUCUCUCAAGCUAUCUAGCACUCACAACAAUUUAGUAGACUGUGCUCUUGUGAAACAGAAAGGAAACAUUCCUCUUCUCUGCCCUGCCUCACCCUUCCAAAUUCUGGGAAGUCUCGUGGAGUAUUCCUGUUUUCGUGGCACUGUAGUUAUUUGCAUAGAUUCGGUAAGAGCCUGUCCACCUUGUUAAUAGGACAUAACUGGAAGCAUUGGUUAAUCAAGGCUGGCUCUGCCUAUAAUGUCACAGUUGAGAAUGAUGCUCGUUUCGUCAGAUGUGACCAGACGCUUUUCAGCAAUUAAGGUUGACAUGAUGGGCCAAUGCUUACAAAGUCCGUCUUGGGAAAACUGGCCUGGCAACCGGCUUUAUAGGGUUCCCAGCCUUAUAGGUGAGCAAGGAAGGUCACUUCCUGGCAGGCUCAGGAAUCCUAGGCUAUUUUGAGGACCUCAGGAAGAGAGGAAUGCCCACCAGAUCACUAGGUACUGCAGGUGGAAAAUGAUGGUGAGGUUUUGGCUCGGCUUCCUAGCCUCAAGAGGCUCUGGAAAGUCCAAUCUGAGAUUCUUUCUGAAAGCGUCCAGAGAAGCCAGUAUAAGACCUACGUGGUACCACGUCGUUCUUGCUGCAUCUAUGUAAAUAACCAGGCCACCUCCAGUGAGACCAGCCUUAUUUUGUGACCAAGAGUCCUCUUUCUUUGAGAUUGUCUUUGAUCAAGAGGGGAAAGGGACUGUAGAGAGCCUUUGGUGUUUCAAUGGGAAACUAUAGCAUGCUCUUUUGGAUUACCGGAUUCUGACCCUAUUCAUUGCCUUUGAGCUAUUUUGCACCUCUGUAAACUGCAGAUCUAUCUGGAAACUUUGUUUUGUCUGGUAACUAAGCUUUCUGUUUCCCUGUGCAAAAACCAGCUUGAUGUUUACUUCUAAAUUGCACUGUGUUUUCUCACCUUGCACAACUUGUCAACCCUUAACCAGAUUUUCAGUUCUUACGGUUUCCUUCAAUAUUUGGCUAUAAACUAAUCUUAGCCUCAAAAUAAACUUUCCCAUUUUUCUGCCUCCUUCUCGACUUGGAGUCAUGAGAACUACAAACCGAUUGCCAGGUUUUUAUUGGGACUCUGAAAUUGCCUUUGCUGGUCUUUGCCUCCAAAAUCUGAAGAGUCACUGCAAGCUGAAGCCUAAGGACUUUUUAUAAGAUUGGAAGGACUCAUCAUCCCACCUGAUCAUUCAUGGUCCAGCUCUUUCCGUGCAUAGGCCACUGCUUGCACUACCAAGCAAGUGUGGCGAAGUACUCAAGCCAUCCAUCCUUAUUGGAGAAGAACCAAUGCUGUGGACACCACCACCAAUGCAAUUGACAUCUCAGCUUCAAAAAACUCAGUGAGUGUUUUCUUGGAAGUUCCACCAAAAUACAGUUGGCACUGACCAUCACCGUGGCCUCCAGUCUUAGACCAGGCACCCAGAACCUGUUGUGCCUCACUGCUCACUGCUCAUCAAGUCCACAACGACGUGAUGAUCCCAAUGAUGACAAAACAACUGAAAGGUCAGGAAGAUCUCGCAUACAGUUGACUAUGGAGGUGACUAACAAUCUCUGAGCAGCGCAGAUCUGGAUCACUAGCUUUCUCUGAAUUGGCCAACUUCUUGCAAAUAACCCUGUUUAAGAUGUCCGGACUUCAAGAUUCUAAAACAAUUGACCUUUGCUAUAACCUCUCAACAGAUGGUCCAGCUUAUUUUACAGGAACAAUACCAACAAAAGUCCUAGACAGAUCCUGCUUUGUCUCACUUGGGAGGUUUAUGCUGGUCUUUUACUUGUUUAGGUUAGUUUAUUAUAUUCAUUCUUAUUGAACAAAAGGAGGGUUUGACAGUGUCAGCUCUGUAUUUAUCUGAGCUCUGUAUUCCUGGAAAACAUUGAUGGUUAAUAAAUCCCCCAUCUUUUGUGUUCAGUUUCUUACUGAAAAGAGCCACCACCCUUCUGCAUACCAUUUAUGGAAGACUCCUCAUCCAUUUUUUCUCGUGACUCCAAUAAGAGUUGUGUGUCAAGGUGUCUAUGGAAAAUUGAUUUUUGGCAAAGAUGCCAGCACCAUUCAAAGGCAAAAGCAUAGUGCUUUCAACAAAUGAUUCUGGGACAACUGGAUACAGUCACACACAGGAGAAUGAAGUUGGAUCUUUACCUCACCACUAUAUAAAAAAUAACUCAAAGUGAAUCAAAAAUCCAAGUCUAAGAGCUAAAACUGUGGGAUUCUUAGAAGAAAACAUAGAGGUAAAUGUUCAUGACAUCAGGUGUGGCAAUGGAAUUUGAGAUAUGACUCCAAACACAAGCAACAAGACAAAAAAACAGAUAAUUUGAGCUUCAUUAAAAUUAAAAAAUUUGUGGGAUGCCUGAUGGCUUGGUUGGUUAAGGAUCAGAUUUCAGCUGAGGUCAUGAUCUCACAUUUCGUGGGUUCGAGCGCCAUGGCGGGCUCUGUGCUGAUAGAGCACAGGCUCUAAGGAGCCUGGAGCCUGCUUCAGAUUCUUCUCCACCUCUCUCUGCCCCUCCCCUGCUCACACUCUGUCUCUCAAAAAAGAAUAAAAAACAUUAAAAAAUAAAAAAUAUAUUAAAACUUUUGUGCUUCAAAAGAUACUAUCAAGAAAGUGAAAAGACAACCUAAAGACUAUAGCUAUAUUUGAAAAUUGUGUAUCUGUUAAGGAACUUGUAUCUAGAAUAUAUAAAGAAUUCUUACAAUUCAGUAAUAAAAAUGACAAAUAACCUAGUUUAAAAAGGCAAA